CAGUGUCAUCAAGGAGACUCUCCUUGACAUGCAGUCACGGCCAUGAUCCAUCUUCAGAGCUUCUCUUUCUUCCCCAAGGCCUCAGUGUCAUCAAGGAGACUCUCCUUGACAUGCAGUCACGGCCAUGAUCCAUCUUCAGAGCUUCUCUUUCUUCCCCAAGGCUGGCGCUGAGAUGGGCAGGUGCUGCAGCAGCCCGGCUGGAAGCGAUGCAGCAUCCAGGACGACGGAGGAAGGGGCAGAGAGGGACCUCCGCUUUCCAGGCUGCCUUUUAUACUGCCUCUGGUCACCUGACAUGGAACGUACCCUAACCUAAUCAGUUACCUGUACCUUAAUUGCAAUUAACUUAAUCCAAUUACAUGACCUGGAAAGGUCUAUCUGCACAGCCCACUCUAAGAUCAUGUCCACUGCUGACAGACAUUCUAAAACCUACUUGUACAGCUGCAAGCUUUGAACAAUAGAUGUUCCCCGUCAGACAUGUAACACUGGUGCCUGUACCCCUGUCUUCUUUUCCAUCUUUUUUGUUGUUUUGUUUUGUUUUGUUUUAAAAAAUGUGGUAAAAUAGACACCUUUUAAUUGGACCACAUUUUGUCU